UUUUCCUGUUUCCUAAACUACCCUCCCACCUCGUUCACUCUCGCGCUCACUCGCCCACUCUGUCUUGCCCAGCCGAAUCCCUAGCUUGCAUCGUCGGUGCCUCUCCCUCGCCUGCGUUGCCGGCUCAUCUCCCUAGCUCGCGUCGCCGGCGCCUCUCCCUCCCCCACGUCGCCUGCGCCUCUCCCUCCCCCGCUUCGCCGGCGCCUCUCCUUCACCCGCGUGGCCGACGCCUCUCCAUUGGCUCCGUCGUCGUCGCCAAGAUCUCAUUUUUAUUCUCCGGCGGCUGAUCCCUAGUGCGGCGGCUCGAUCUGGAAUGGCUUUCGUCCACUCCAACGCCGUGUGGUACGUCACCCUUUCCUAGCUCCCUCGCUGCUGCUCAUCUGGACUUGAUUUGAUCCACCCACCCCGUCUCUUCUCCCUCCUCUCUCUUCAUGGAGGGUCCCUCCUCUCUCUUCCCCUCCCUCCACUCUGCUGGUUGGUUGGACGGAAGACCACCGCUCGUCCGGCUUUGCUUCUUCCACCGCUGCUCCCCUCCCAUCAUAGUGCCAGAGACGCUGUGCCAAGGACGGAAGAAACCCAACUUCCUUACAAGUCUCAUGGAGUAGUAGUGCAAUCCAUGCAUGGAUUAGUAGUGCGAACCAGCACUAGUAGUGGUGCAAAGUCUCAUGGAGUACUGUGGUGCUGAAUUUGUAUGAAUUUACUAUGAUGAUGACAAUAUUCAUACUAAUUCAACAAAGCACCUUACUGAACAUACUCAAUAAUGUUCUGUGUAUAAAUUUACUGUGAUGUUGACAAUAUUCAUACCAAGUCUCAUGGAGUAUAAAUUUGGCAUUAAAAUGGAGUAAAUCAACCAUUUUCAUACUGACCAUACAAUGCUUGUUGUGAACAUUUGUAAACUGACCAUAUAUGUCAAGUUAAUAGUAAAUGGAGUAACUCACCUACUGUUGUUGCUAUUCCUGUGAUCAGUUGAUCUUGUUGUUGUUGCUGUUCACACAAUUGAUCUUGCUAUUGUUGUCGUUCAUGCGAUCAAUUUUCUGCUGUCCAAAUAAGCAACUAUGCUGCGGAGCAUUCAGAGUAACAGUUUGCUCGAGUGUGAUCUUCAAAAUCUGACCACAAUUUACUUGAUGAACAGCAGAGGAUCAAGUUGAAGAACCAAGUACUCCAAUCAGCAGAUCACUCCAAGCUGGAGUACCAAGCAGCUGUUACUCCAAUCACUCAAAUACGAAGAAUACAGGUCUCCAGCCAGGCGAAAGGGAUACUACUGGCGGCAAGCGAUGAACACCAUGGAGCAGCGGCGGACUUCACUACCUCAGGGGAUCAACAACCAGCUAUACCACGAUCGGAGCCAAAAUCAAGCAGCGGAGCAGCAGAGGAUUGGAGCUGUGGAUCAAUUUGAGAGGAGCAGCAGUGGAUUGGAGCUAUGGAUCAAUUCAAGAGGAGCGGUAGUGGACAGGAGAUGUGGAUCAAUUUGGGAAGGACGCCGGCGCUGUGGCGGAUGGCAUACCAGCGGUUGAUCGACCUCAGGCUCUCGAUUGGAGCGGAGGAAGGCGGCCGGCGGGGAAGGACGCCGGAGCUGCAGCGGAGGGUGAAGGAGCUGAGGACGCCGGGGGUGCGGGGCGGAUGGCGGAUGGAGGAAGACGACGAUCAUAUUUCAAAUUAGGGGUAGUUUGGUACAUUUUCCCGUUUUCACCUGGUCAGAAUAAUCCCCCAACGACAAAUAUAUCGGUAUAGAGGGAGUAUAUCUUUUGGGUAGUUUGUCAUUUGCUCUAGUGCUUCACUUAUAUCUUCUUAGAGCAUGACGGUAGUUUCAUUUUGAAGAAAUUGUUGAUCUAUCAUGCUUCAUUUAUAUUAUUUUGAGAGUCUUUUAGAACA